UACGUAGGGGGCAAGCGUUGUCCGGAAUCAUUGGGCGUAAAGAGCUUGUAGGCGGUCUGUCGCGUCUGCUGUGAAAAUCCGGGGCUCAACCCCGGGCCUGCAGUGGGUACGGGCAGACUAGAGUGCGGUAGGGGAGACUGGAAUUCCUGGUGUAGCGGUGAAAUGCGCAGAUAUCAGGAGGAACACCGGUGGCGAAGGCGGGUCUCUGGGCCGUAACUGACGCUGAGGAGCGAAAGCGUGGGGAGCGAACAGG
rnacentral:rRNA from 1 species